GCUGCGGGCCUGGGCCCAGCUGACUCAAUUUCCAACAGCCCCCUGGCUUUGUCUAUAGCUCCAGGGAAAUCCAUGCAUGUUCCUAGCUCACGCUGAUCUUUUGCAAAAGAGAAAACCCUUGCCUUUCAAGGCUGUCACCAAGAAUGUCAGCAUCAGUGAAGUCCUGGGAUUUUCCUCCUUGCCCUGUUUUAGGGAACCUUAGCAAGAAGUCCUAGGUUUGGGGGAUCAGUGCGCGGUGCAUGGCAAGCACCUUCCCAUGGCGAGAGCCGUCUCGCCAGCCCCUCUCUCUGGCCCCUAAGCUCACCGUCCUUGCUGUGCAGAUUCCAGAGCUGAGAUGACACCAUCAACUCACCUAUAUUUUGGCUCUUCAGAGUCCAGGUUUACCGGGUCCACAGUCACUGAUGCAGUUUUUUGGAAGAGAGCUCUCUUUGCAUAUUUGAAAACACCCCUGUUCAGAAGCACUCCUGUGACCCCUGGGUCUGGCCUUCUCCACCCAGUCUCCAUGUAUCUGUCUGACUUCACCCACAUCACAGCAACCUUGAUGGCAACAUCAUCCGCAUUCUGCUCCUCACCAGCUAAAGGCCAUCCCAUCGGAACCUUCUUCAUGACUUUUAGAAACAUUUAGGGUCACGACAAGGGGAAAGAAAAAAAUCCAGGCCUGUAAUCCUAGCUACUCUGGAAGACAGAGGCAGGAGGAUUGCAAGAUCUGGUCUGCCUGAGCAAGUUCAAGGGCAGC